rnacentral:rRNA from 1 species
CGCGAGCAGGUGCGAAAGCAGGUCAUAGUGAUCCGGUGGUUCUGAAUGGAAGGGCCAUCGCUCAACGGAUAAAAGGUACUCCGGGGAUAACAGGCUGAUACCGCCCAAGAGUUCAUAUCGACGGCGGUGUUUGGCACCUCGAUGUCGGCUCAUCACAUCCUGGGGCUGAAGUAGGUCCCAAGGGUAUGGCUGUUCGCCAUUUAAAGUGGUACGCGAGCUGGGUUUAGAACGUCGUGAGACAGUUCGGUCCCUAUCUGCCGUGGGCGCUGGAGAACUGAGGGGGGCUGCUCCUAGUACGAGAGGACCGGAGUGGACGCAUCACUGGUGUUCGGGUUGUCAUGCCAAUGGCACUGCCCGGUAGCUAAAUGCGGAAGAGAUAAGUGCUGAAAGCAUCUAAGCACGAAACUUGCCCCGAGA